UACGGAGGGUGCAAGCGUUAUCCGGAUUCACUGGGUUUAAAGGGUGCGUAGGUGGAUUAGUAAGUCAGUGGUGAAAUCUCCGGGCUUAACCCGGAAACUGCCAUUGAUACUAUUAGUCUUGAAUACCGUGGAGGUCAGCGGAAUAUGUCAUGUAGCGGUGAAAUGCUUAGAUAUGACAUAGAACACCAAUUGCGAAGGCAGCUGGCUACACGAAUAUUGACACUCAGGCACGAAAGCGUGGGGAGCAAACAGG
rnacentral:rRNA from 1 species